rnacentral:rRNA from 1 species
GAUGAACGCUAGCGGCAGGCUUAAUACAUGCAAGUCGAGGGGCAACAGGGGUAGCAAUACCUGCUGGCGACCGGCAAACGGGUGCGGAACACGUACAGAACCUUCCUUUAAGCGGGGGAUAGCCCAUAGAAAUGUGGAUUAAUACCCCAUAGUAAUAAUGACUGGCAUCAGUUGUUAUUUAAAGAUUUAUCACUUAGAGAUGGCUGUGCGGCUGAUUAGGUAGUUGGNGGGGUAACGGCCCACCAAGCCAGCGAUCAGUAACUGGUGUGAGAGCACGACCAGUCACACGGGCACUGAGACACGGGCCCGACUCCUACGGGAGCAGCAAGUAAGGAAUAUUGGU